CUGUUCGAGCGUCAUUAUGACCAAUUACGCCUGGCGUAGUCUUGGGGUUCGCGUCCAGCGGCCCUUAAAAUCAGUGGUGGUGUCCGUUGGGCUCUAAGCGCAGUAAUUUCUCUCGCUUCUGGGCUCUACGGGUGCACACCAGAACCCCAACUUUUCUCAAGGUUGACCUCGGAUCAGGUAGGGAUACCCGCUGAACUUAA
rnacentral:misc_RNA from 1 species